rnacentral:rRNA from 1 species
CCAGACUCCUACGGGAGGCAGCAGUGGGGAAUAUUGGACAAUGGACCAAGAGUCUGAUCCAGCAAUUCUGUGUGCACGAUGAAGUUUUUCGGAAUGUAAAGUGCUUUCAGUUGGGAAGAAAGAAAUGACGGUACCAACAGAAGAAGUGACGGCUAAAUACGUGCCAGCAGCCGCGGUAAUACGUAUGUCACGAGCGUUAUCCGGAUUUAUUGGGCGUAAAGCGCGUCUAGGUGGUUAUAUAAGUCUGAUGUGAAAAUGCAGGGCUCAACUCUGUAUUGCGUUGGAAACUGUAUAACUAGAGUACUGGAGAGGUAAGCGGAACUACAGGUGUAGAGGUGAAAUUCGUAGAUAUUUGUAGGAAUGCCGAUGGGGAAGCCAGCUUACUGGACAGAUACUGACGCUGAAGCGCGAAAGCGUGGGUAGCAAACAGGAUUAGAUACCCUGGUAGUCCACGCCGUAAACGAUGAUUACUAGGUGUUGGGGGUCGAACCUCAGCGCCCAAGCAAACGCGAUAAGUAAUCCGCCUGGGGAGUACGUACGCAAGUAUGAAACUCAAAGGAAUUGACGGGGGCCCGCACAAG